UACGGAGGAUCCAAGCGUUAUCCGGAUUUAUUGGGUUUAAAGGGUGCGUAGGCGGCCUAUUAAGUCAGGGGUGAAAGACGGUAGCUUAACUAUCGCAGUGCCCUUGAUACUGAUGGGCUUGAAUGUACUAGAGGUAGGCGGAAUGUGACAAGUAGCGGUGAAAUGCAUAGAUACCAUAAAGAACACCUAUUGCGAAGGCAGCUUACUAAGCUGUAACUGACGCUGAGGCACGAAAGUGUGGGGAUCAAACAGG
rnacentral:rRNA from 1 species